GCUGGGUGUGGUGGUCACACCUGUAAUCCCAGCUACUUGGGAGGCUGAGAAAGGAGAAUUGCAAUUUUGAUGCCAGCCUCUGUCUUUA
rnacentral:sRNA from 1 species